UCCCUUCAAUGUAACUCCCAGCCACUCAACUUCCCCUUCUCUGCACGGUGUUCAUGGUCAUUGUCAAGCUGCUACAUUGAGCACUGCCCUGUAUCCUUUUCAUGGCACCAAAGACUUACAAGAGACUGGGACAGACUCAGUGAUGUCAUGGAAAGUAAUCCAAAACCAACAAUAUGAGAAAAGAAUAUAUUUAAAUAUUGUGCGGAAAAAACAAAUUGAAAUAAACAGAUGCUAGGUUCAGUAAGGCCAUGUGGAGCGGUUGGCAGUGUUUCUCACACUUCUUUGAAUUUGCCCCACUGUGAAGAUCAUGCAUGAGGUACCUUGUGAUGGGUGAAAACAGCAGUGUGACUCUGGAAGGAGUUCCUCAGCUUCCUCAGGAAGAUGCAAAGGAGGAUCCUUGCAGUGACCGUCACAUGGCAAAUGUUUGUGAAUCAAAUAUGGGGGAUAUGACAUUGUGCAGCCAUGCAAGAGUGUAUCUUCACAAUGUUUCCACAAGGAUUCCUUCUGUUCCAGGAGUUUUGUUACAUUUUAGCUGCUGGGUGGCUUUUUUCAACAUCUGCGCAUGCCUGGUAUGAUCUCACAAAAACCUUUGACUUUGUCAAUUGUAGAUGAUGUUCCUCAAAUUUGGCUACCUUCAGAAAUUUGUCACCAUUGUCUGCUUACUCCAUGACAACAUGCAAUAAGUGAUCCUCACUAAUGGCACCACCACAAACCCUAUCUUUUUGAAAACUGGUGUCUACUAAGAACAUGCCAUUGCACCAACUCUCUUCUCCAUUUUCCAUGCUGCAUUUCUAUAUCUCUACAAUAACAAAUUACCAGCAGGCAUGGGGAUAAUUUAAAGAACAGAUGGAAAGCUGUUCAAACUGCUGCCUCCAAUCCAAAGCCAAAACCAUUCCAACCUCUGUCAUAGAGCUUAAGUACAUAGAAACGCUUGUGCAUACUCAUUCAGAAAAUGAACUCCAGGCCAGUGUAGACUCCUUCACCAAACCAUAUGAGAAAAUGGACCUUUACUAAACACAAGGAAAACUCAAGUCCUUUCCCAGCAGCUCCUACAGCAAAACACCUCUGCCCAUCAAUUGAGAUUAACAGCAAGAUUAAAACAUGGACCAUUUUUCAUAUUUUGGGAGACUGUCUUGAUAAAGGCAGGCAGAGAUAACAAAAUUCAUCAUCAUCUCUAAUGUGCCAGCUCAGCUUUUGGACAACUGAGGCAAGACUAAGAUCAGGCUUUACUGGGAAGCACUGAUCCCCUGCUUCUACUUGCUUUGGAGGCUAAAAGCAACCUACAGCUGGCACCUCAAAGCACCUUGGAAACAAUGCCAACAAUAUCUUCGCAAGGCACUCAAAAUUAAGCAGCAAGAAAGGUAUCCAACAGUAGUCUCAUCCCCCAAUCCAACGUGCCCAAAACUGAGGCAUCAAUCAUUCAAAAAAAGCUUGGCUGGACAGAACAUGUCUUUCAUAUACUUGACACCAGACUCGUGAAGCACUUACUAUUCUUAGAAUUCAGGCUCACUUAGGAUACUCUCAGAAGGACAGUGGAAAUGUUGAGGGACAUCCUCAGAGCAUCCCUGAAGAGGUCAAACAUACCCUUUGAUUCAUUGGAGACCCUGUCUAGUCAUCACCGAAAUGGAGUAUGGUCAAUGGAUGGCACCAACUGUAUCGAGAGACUUCAUCAGGAAGAUGUUUUGGAGUAAGUGCAGAAAGCUCCAAACAACUCACCUACCCAACUUUUCAAAUAUUACUCUGCCGCAGUAACAGACAGUCCAUAUCAUGCAUUGGACUUAUCAACAGUCUCAAAGCCCAUCAACUUUGAAUGGAAGCGGGUCACCUUAACCCCAAGCCUUAGCAGACUUUCCUAAGAAAAAAAAUUCAAAAAUCAACAUAUUAAGUUUUCAAGUAAAUAAUUGUCACACCUUUGGAAUAUUAAAUUUAUAUUUUAUUGUCAAGCAUUUCACU